GUAACUGGCCUGACAUGAUGGUUAGCCCAUUGUAGCAGUAAGAUGGGCACAGUAACUCAAACCGGUAUGGUGGUAAUAAUGCUCAAUCACAAGACUUCCAUGGUACUGCUAGACUUAACCUCCCUUAGUCAAACGGGAGAAAAAGAUAGAAGAAAAGAGAAGAGAGAUAAAGGAAAGAUAAGAGAGAAGAAAGAAAGAGAAAGCAG
rnacentral:lncRNA from 1 species